rnacentral:rRNA from 1 species
AGAGUUUGAUCCUGGCUCAGGACGAACGCUGGCGGCGUGCCUAAUACAUGCAAGUAGAACGCUGAAGAGAGGAGCUUGCUCUUCUUGGAUGAGUUGCGAACGGGUGAGUAACGCGUAGGUAACCUGCCUUGUAGCGGGGGAUAACUAUUGGAAACGAUAGCUAAUACCGCAUAACAAUGGAUGACACAUGUCAUUUAUUUGAAAGGGGCAAUUGCUCCACUACAAGAUGGACCUGCGUUGUAUUAGCUAGUAGGUGAGGUAAUGGCUCACCUAGGCGACGAUACAUAGCCGACCUGAGAGGGUGAUCGGCCACACUGGGACUGAGACACGGCCCAGACUCCUACGGGAGGCAGCAGUAGGGAAUUUUCGGCAAUGGGGGCAACCCUGACCGAGCAACGCCGCGUGAGUGAUGAAGGUCUUCGGAUUGUAAAGCUCUGUUGUAAGGGAAGAACGGCAUCUAGAGAAUAGGUGAGUGACGGUACCUUACCAGAAAGCUACGGCUAACUACGUGCCAGCAGCCGCGGUAAUACGUAGGUAGCGAGCGUUAUCCGGAAUUAUUGGGCGUAAAGGGUGCGUAGGCGGCCUGUUAAGUUUAUGGUGAAAGCGUGGGGCUCAACCCCAUAAAGCCAUAGAUACUGGCAGGCUAGAGUACUGGAGAGGGUAGUGGAAUUCCAUGUGUAGCGGUAAAAUGCGUAGAUAUAUGGAGGAACACCGGUGGCGAAGGCGGCUACCUAGACAGAGACUGACGCUGAGGCACGAAAGCGUGGGGAGCAAAUAGGAUUAGAUACCCUAGUAGUCCACGCCGUAAACGAUGAGAACUAGGUGUUGGGGGAAUAACUCAGUGCCGCAGUUAACGCAGUAAGUUCUCCGCCUGGGGAGUAUGCACGCAAGUGUGAAACUCAAAGGAAUUGACGGGGGCCCGCACAAGCGGUGGAGUAUGUGGUUUAAUUCGAAGCAACGCGAAGAACCUUACCAGGCCUUGACAUCCCUUGCAGAGGUAUAGAGAUAUAUCCGAGGUUAUCAAGGAGACAGGUGGUGCAUGGUUGUCGUCAGCUCGUGUCGUGAGAUGUUGGGUU